rnacentral:rRNA from 1 species
UCACUUUCAACAACGGAUCUCUUGGCUCUCGCAUCGAUGAAGAACGCAGCGAAAUGCGAUAAGUAGUGUGAAUUGCAGAAGUACCGUGAAUCAUCGAAUCCUUGAACGCAGAUUGCACUCUCUGGUAUUCCGGGGAGUAUGCCUGUUUGAGGGUCGCU